UUGCACGCUGGCGGCAGGCCUCACACCUGCCAGUCGAGCGGAUGAAGGGAGCUUGCUCCUGGAUUCAGCGGCGGACGGGUGAGUAAUGCCUAGGAAUCUGCCUGGUAGUGGGGGAUAACGUCCGGAAACGGGCGCUAAUACCGCAUACGUCCUGAGGGAGAAAGUGGGGGAUCUUCGGACCUCACGCUAUCAGAUGAGCCUAGGUCGGAUUAGCUAGUUGGUGGGGUAAAGGCCUACCAAGGCGACGAUCCGUAACUGGUCUGAGAGGAUGAUCAGUCACACUGGAACUGAGACACGGUCCAGACUCCUACGGGAGGCAGCAGUGGGGAAUAUUGGACAAUGGGCGAAAGCCUGAUCCAGCCAUGCCGCGUGUGUGGAGAAGGUCUUCGGAUUGUAAAGCACUUUAAGUUGGGAGGAAGGGCAGUAAGUUAAUACCUUGCUGUUUUGACGUUACCAACAGAAUAAGCACCGGCUAACUUCGUG
rnacentral:rRNA from 1 species